CAUUUUAAAAUUUGAAUUAAUGUGGUUUAGAAUAAUUACAGUUAGUGUUUAUUUUUGUAUAUCUUUAAAGAUACAGAAGAGGAGGAUGUUGGCCUGUAGUCAGUAUAAAACUUCACUGGGCUGUUGCAAAAGUAGUUGUGUGUGCACACAACAUGCUCUUUUGCCACUCUGAAGUUAUACUCUAAGCCUAGAAAACCAUGGGCUUGAGACAAUUGGUCUGGGUCUGUGAAGUUUAAGAUGGGCUUGAGGUCAUCAUCCUAAACUCCCAAACCUUAAAAAACCCCAAAACAAAAAGGAAGGUUGGAGCGAUAUUGAUUCUGCUGUGCAUCCGCACCUUGCAAAGUAGUCACUCGGGGUCUGCGGUGGCUCUCUCAUCUCACCCCACGCUAUUAUAGUGUGGCAUGUUUCUAAAAGAGACUGUAAGGUACGUACCACGUCCAGAGUCAAGCGGAAUAUAUUUUCUAUUUAUCUAGUCACAUUUGCUUGAGCUGUAGUGCAAGGCGAAGUGAUAAUCCCAAAUACCCGGUAGUCUCAGCUCUGUCAGACUUCCUCCAGGAUGGCAAGAGUAUGACUAUGGCCAUCCCCAAAAGAGAGACCUCAUCAUCUUCGUUACAGAAAAAAUACUGCUUGGCUUAGCUAACUAGGAAAGGCCUGGGAGACUUGGGGACAGAAAGUGCCAUGGGAAUGCCCGACAUUCGUAAUGGAAUAUGUUAUAUCCUCUAUGGCACUAUAAACCGAGCCUCAACUUGGAAGGACCCAAGUUAACAAGCACUAACAGCUGCUAAUCUGGGGAUCUCAGUACGCAAGUAUCCAUGUUGUGAGAAACACAGGCCACACCUAGAGCUAACGAGCAUUGCUGGGGCUGGUCUCAUGCGUGGUCUUUCUCAUGGAGUGGUGGUGGAUGCUAGAUAACUCUCUCCCCAGCUCUUUGCUCAUCUGAAACCUGCUCAGCAUUUAGAGACUAAAUUCUGUUACCAGUCCUGUAGAUCCCCUUGCUCCUUAGGCAUGGAAACUGGACAAUAACGGAUGGGACAAAAUUGUAGCCCCACCUCAUCCGCUGGGUGACGGCGUAUGCUGCCCUGUUUGGGGAACUCGGCAUGAGGCAGCCCCCACCCCAUCGGGAGGGGAUGAAGCUUUCAGUUUGGAGUGCCUAUAGAAAAAAAUCGGGUUUGUAGUACACUUGAAAAAUAAAAUCUCAACACUUCUUCCAAAUUGUUCACUGCGUCAACAGUGGUUAAUGGGGAAAAAAAUAAACAGGGAAAAAGGUUCUCUACAGCUUCCCUUGAACACAUGCAUGCCCCACAGAGGGCAUUCCGGUCAUGCAUGGGCUGGUCGUAGCUUGGAAAAUAAAGCUGCAUAGCUCAUGUAAGCAACAGAAACCUGUGAAACAGACAAGUAUUGAAGGUGGUUGGAAGUUCAAGCUCUAGGAGAGGUAGCUGAGUGUUUGAUUGGUCCCUCUUCCCUCCGUGUUUAUUUCAACUGUCCUGCUGUGAGUCUAAAAUUCACCCGCAUCAGAGAAUUUAAGCUGACACUGGAACCUCUGCAGCUUUAAUCCUGCCACUGUACUGUGCAGAGGGAAAAAUAAGCUGCAAGGACCUUUAGAGUUAACAAAAAUAAAACGAGGGCCUUCUGUAAACGUGUGAACCUGAUCUCGACGUGCCGCAGUCUCUUCUGCUUUGAGAUUAUGUUUGCUAAGGGAGUUAAGGGAUGAUGGAAACUCUAGCAGUAGAUAAAGUGUUUCUAUUUCUGGCACCUUCGGGAUAGAGUAUCAAUUCACCGCAACAGAUGGAGCAAAAGCCCUUGAAGUGCUAUUGUUGAAAUAACUUGGAGACCUGUCAUCUGCCAACAGAUCCCCUUCACGAGCCGGCACGAAGAAGUUUCGGGUUGAUGGCGUGAGAUCCUGCCAAAUGUCCGUCACAGCUGCGGUUAAAGUAAAAGCUGACGGGGAAGCAAGGCAUCGCUUGCAGGGCACUCGGGGAAAGGCAACGAUGUCUCAAGUGUGUCCUUUGGGCUGAUUCUGCAUAAUGCUGUACCGUGUCAUCUAAGCAUGUAAUACCAAUCACAUGCCUCCAAACGAGAAUUCUCUAUCCAUCCGGGAAAGGAGGGUGGAAAAUGGGAUUCAGUGGCUUCUAAGCUGUCAUACUGGAAUUCAUCCUGCAAAGUGCUAGCUCAUUGCAGAGAAAGCAAUAUGCCUGGAAGCCAGCUGCCAAACAUUCCGGAGGUAUGUGGAGUAAAAGAGUAAGUGAAAUGGGGCUAUGUGAGAUACGGGGUUGGAGGAGACUGAGGAACUUGUAUGCUGUUGGUGGGAGGUUUGGAUGACACUGGGG